UUAUUACUGUCCAAGUUUUUGGAAAAUGGCUGAGAUAUAUCGUCCACAAUAAAAAAAUCUUCUGAAAAAAUGUCAUCAACAGAGGCCGGUGUUGCGACACCGGUGGGCGUUCCCCAAAUGACGUCAUCGCUUGUGUCAGAAAAAGUGUCAUGGCAGCUUAAGGAAUGAUUUGAAAAAAAACAAGCAGGAUUACCGGUAAUGACGGGUGAAUCCUGGACGGGGUGAAACUUGCUGUGUCCAUGGGGAGGAAUAAGUGGUGCUGGAACAUUACUGCCGCGCGGGGGACCUCUCCACUGGACCCCCCGCUUCUUCGGGGCAGCGCGAACGGCUUCGGAGGAGACUUCAGGCCCACAGUCGAGUCUUUCCUGCUCCCAAGCCACGAGCUCCAACCACAACCCUAAGUCGAAGGGUUCCUCCCGUGGUUUCGACGCGGAAAAACAACUUGAUGCUCGGAUCCUACUGUGAGGACUCUUCUUCGGCAUGGUAAUGCCGGUGUAGUUUUCCCGUGGAUGCGUCGGAGCAGAACACAGCAAAGAUCCGUGCCACGACUUCAAACUUGACACCUUAUUGGCUGGUUCUGAGACAAGAUCGAUUGCUUCAGUCUGACUCUGUUUGCUUCAGGAAAGAACCAGCGUCUUGUACAGUAGACAUUCGUCUUUUCCCGGCCCCGUAGCACCCACUGGAUCGGCGCCUAUGAUGUGGUUCACUUUGGUCUAGGUACUUCGACGAAUGAGACUCCAUCGGAUGUGAGAGCGAUGGGGUUCACCUCAGGUGGGAUAACAAAAAGAUCCUGGGCUGCAGAUAUGAUGUCAUCUGAAGCCAUCAACAAUGGAGGAGGGUUGCCAUUCCCGGGCCAGGUGGCUACCCCUCGGUCUAUUGGACAUUAUUAUCUGACUGCUUGUCUUGGCUACCUGGGACUGACACCUGCAACACAUGAUGGUCCGAUUGUAUUCCAGAAGAUGAUGAAAGUGAUAUUUGAAGAUGUUUUCCUUCAUCGCACUUUUGUUUUUUUCCUGACUUUAUUACCUUUAUGAACCACUUUUCUCUAUGAUAGAGAGAGAACAUUCUCACUCACAUUCACACACUACAAGCGGUAAGAAAAUGGAUGGAUGGACGUCACUGUUUGAUAUUACGCCCACUGGAGGGUGCUGUCGCACUGUAUAAAAACUUAUUUGUAGCAGUCGAAAAUGCAUUGUUCACAAUGUUUAAUGUGAAAAGUGUAACUUUAAAGGACAAUUACAAUGUAUUCAAGGUGAAUAAAGAUUGAGAACCAUCAGUUUGAGGGACCAUUUUUUCCAACCCGGUAAGUGAGAGUAAUAAUUACUUAUUUUUCUGUUUUUUGGAUACUUGAAAUUAGUUUUGGACGAUACCACAACUUUAGGUGCACAAUCCAAUACCAAGUAAGGCAAAGCAAGUUUAUUCAUAGAGCACAAUUGGUACAUGAAGCAAGUCAAAGUGGUUUAUACCAGUGGUUCUCAACCUUUUUUCAGUGAUGUACCCACUGGGAACAUUUCUGUAAUUCAAGUACCCCCUAAUCAGAGCAAAGCAUUUUUGGUUGAAAAAAAGAGAUAAAGAAGUCAAAUACAGCACUAUGUCAUCAGUUUCCAAUUUAUUAAAUUGUAUAAAAGUGCAAAAUAUUGUUCAUUUGUAUAGUGGUCUUUCUUGAACUAUUUGGAAAAAAAGAUAUAAAAAUAACUAAAAACUUGUUGAAAAAUAAACAGGUGAUUCAAUUAUAAAUAAAUAUUUUUACACAUAGAAGUAAUCAUCAACUUAAAGUGCCCUCUUUAGGGAUUGUAAUAGAGAUCCAUCUGGAUUCAUGAACUUAAUUCUAAACAUUUCUUCACAAAAAAAUAAAUCUUUAACAUCAAUAUUUAUGGAACAUGUCCACAAAAAGUCUAGCUGUAAACACUGAAUAUUGCAUUGUUGCAUUUCUUUUCUCAGUUUAUGAACUUACAUUCAUAUUUUGUUGAAGUAUUUAUUAUUCAAUAAAUAUAUUUAUAAAGGAUGUUUUAAUCGUUGCUAUUUUAAGAAUUUUUUUUUUUUUAAUCUCACGUACCCCUUGGCAUACCUUUCAAGUACCCCCAUUUGAGAACCACUGGUUUAUACAAUAUUACAAGAAAGCAAAAACAAAAACAAAAUAAUCAUGAUUAAAAUGAAAAUCAAAAUGAAAAAUCUCUUAAGCAACUAAAACAAUAUUUUAUAUUAAAUAAUAAUACAUUAAAAUGAAUUUUUAAAAAAAGGCAAAUUGAG